rnacentral:antisense_RNA from 1 species
AUACCAACUUCAUCUCUCUUUAAGAAUACAAUAUUAGUUUAAAAGAUUGUUCAACUUAAAGCAAUCUUGUAGAGAUUGUCACCCAUGAUUGAUGCUGGGUGGAAGAGUAAACUGUUCCUGUUUCUCCAUCUUGACAGGAAGCAGAAGUUCUCCUUAGCUGAUUUUUCUUCUUGCCUUAUACUGGGUUCUUUAACACCAGAACAAAAAUAAAUAAAUAAAAGAAUCUUCCAGAAAUUCAUGAAGAGACUUCAGGUCAGGAAAGCCUGAACUUUCUCAUCCAACACCUGUUCAAGUCGGAGGAUGCUGAUUAAUUCAUGAUGGAAAGGUAUCAAUUUCACAGCCCAGACCUCUACAUUCUUGAAAUGCUCUUCUCAUGGGAGACAUUAAAUAAGCUUUGAAUUAACUGAGACCUCUGUGGAUUCUAUAACUCAAAGACCCAGGCUGACGGCUGGUGGAAUAGCUACCAUCUCAAACAUGGCGUGAUGCUGCAUCAGAGAGAAAAAUAAGCUCUUGCAUUGACAAUGAAAUGUCUACCCUGUAGUGACUUGUGCUUACUUCCACUCACAAGUGAUUGCCCAGAGCUACUUACCUGGCUCCAAUCUACCACUGGGUGUGUACUUGCAAUCUACCAUGUACCUAGAAGAUGAGAGAAACAAAUUAUUAAUGAUGACCACACCCCAAGACUAACAACAAGUUGCAGAAGAAUCAAUGACUUAAACAAAAAUGUGGCCAUUGAAGGAAUAGAAAAUAUAGUGAGUUUAGUGUAAAUUUAAAAGU